GGUAUGCUAGUGUGGGUGGUGCCUGAGGGGCUCUCAGAGAAAGGCAGGGUCUUGAGGCACAUUUUUCCCACAGCACUUGAAUGCUGUUGUUCUUAUGUUGCAUCAUGUAGGCAAUGAUGGGAGUGGAAACUGACCAGCGAUACAAUCCAGAGACGUGCACACUUUGCUGUUUAUAUUUUUAGCAUCCACUUGAUACCAGUGUCAGAAUUCCCCACCUUCAAACAGUCCACGUUCUGACUACACUUGCAUCACAAGGCAGAGUACAGAAGCGACUGCAGUAAGUUGACCCUUGAAGGCUAUGAGCUCCAGCCACGCUCUUUGCAAAUAUUCCAUUCUUUGGAAGACUUGCCUCCCCAGCCCGCGAUGCUUCCAGGCAGCUUUGGGGUGCUUGUGUGUGCGCCUGAGGACCAGCUCUGCUUGCUUGGUAUCAUCACUGGUAGGGAGUUGGCCCUGGAUGAGCCCUCUGAGCUGAACUGUGCUAUGCCACCCAGCUGCAGCACCAGGGCAGGGCACCUGGGCUGCUGGAAGCUCCAAGAUUCAGGGUCAUGGGCACAGGAUCUCUUUCUAGGCCUCCAGCUUGAAGGCCACUGGAGGGUCAGCAUCAGGGAGCUGGACUCUGCCUGCCCUGGUGCACUUGGAAUCCAUGCUGCUCUCCUAGAGGUGAGACCACCGUGCACUUACCGCCACCCACCUUGGCGUUUGAACCAGAUGGUAGCUGGGCAAAGCUUGAGUCUCCAGGGAGGCAGCCCUGUCAGUCAUCCAUGCACACAGCUCUUUUCUCCCGGGGCAUGCAGAUAGGUGGCCAAAAAAUAUAGCGAAUGUUAAAUUUAAAAAAUAAGUUACAGUAAAAGACACAUUGCCGUGGAUCGCCCUCAAAAUCUUUCCCCUACUCUAAACACAUUUGUUCUAUCAUUCUUGGCACUUUCUGAAGCAGUUCUUAAAGUCCUCUCUCAUAAGCUUCUUUAAUUGUGCUAUUGUGGUUGCCUCAGUGCCCUGAGGAUAUGAUGUUUCUCCAAGCUGCCUUUCACCAUAGUGAAAGCAUGCAGGCUUCACCAUGGUUUAAUCCCACCUCGUAAAGACCCCCAGAAUUGCUUCAGAAGGUGGUAAGAACAGUGGAAUGAUUGUGUUCAAAGGUAGCGGGGUGGGGGACUUGGGGGGAAUUCAUGGCAAUGUGUCUUUUACUGUAAUAAUUUUUAAUUUUUUUGAGACAGAGUUUCACUGUGUCACUCAGGCUGAACUUGAACUCAUUGUGUAGCCUACGCUAACCUUGAACUCACAGCAAUCCUCCAGCCUUAGCUUCCCGAAUACUGGGAUCGUAGGUGUGCACCACCUUGACUGAUUUAAAAGUUUUAUUUAAAAAUUCACAGGGCGUUUGAUCACACCUUGUACAUCAGGCAUGUGGCAGUGUUCUGGGUCCAGAACCUCACAUACUACUGGUCUGGGGCUCUAUGGUUUGGGCCAGGCCACAGUGUCAUUGUCUCUGCCCCUUGUGGUGAACUUUGCUUAGUGAUUCUGUUGUCCUGCCCACUGUCCCUCCACUGGGGCCAUCUCAUGCUGUCAAAGUCUAUAUUCACUUUAAUUCUGGCAGGAUCCAAACCCAUUUUGCUUAUUGCAUUUUUCCUUGUGGUGUUCAGCACCUGUACAAGUCAGAAGACUCACUGAGCCCUGGGUGGGCACAUCGAGCUGGAGCAUCAGAUCCAUGGCCAGUCCAGCUGACAGGCCUGGCCAGGAGGACAUCAAUGGAGCUAACAUGGGUUAGUAGCACUGAGACAGGAGCCUGGAUUGGGUCAAGAGGUGCCACGCAGUGCUGAAGGUCUGGAUGGUCUGUGUUCAAAUCUGACCCUUCCGUUUACGGGUUCAUGACCUUGGAGAAGUCACUUCACCCUUCUGUACCUCUGUUUAUUUACCAAAGAGAGCUGAUGCUGGUGUCAGUACUGAAUGCAUCAUUACAGGGGAAGUGCUGGAUUGGCACCUGGCGCACACACUCACUAGGUGGCUCUGAGGUCAAGAAGCAUGUUCAAAGCCACCACUGCAUGGAGAGAGCAGGCGAAGCACACAUCCCAGUGAGAGGCCCUGGGGACGCCCGGGUCCUGUGGCCCCUCAGUGAUAUAUAGCAGAGGAGCCACCCUGCCUUCAGCAUCGUCCUGGCUGGAGUUUGGACCAGGAUUCCUGCGGAGCCCAAAAUACCACCCUGGGGCCAUUUCAUCACUGGGAUUCACAAAACUUACUCCACCAGGAAACUAAAGAUGCCACGUGCUAGUGGGAAAAGGGCAGAUUUUCCAAGCGGCAUUUGGGACUGUGACCUUCUGACUUCUGAGACUUGCUAAGUCCUAAAAUUGUUCAGGUUGGACUAGGACCCAUGAUCUCCCUGCCUCAGCCUCCCACAGGCUUAGGAUUACAGAUGUGUGCCGCCAUGCUGCUGGUGAAUGGGCGGUGGGUGGCUUUGACUCAGUCUACAGGGUGACUAGGAGGAAUGCCUGGAACAUAGCUGCAUGUCCAGAAGACAGAAUCUGUCAGCGUUAAAACAUCCCUCGUUCACUUACUGGCCUGUGUGCAUUGGUAAUUCUGUACUUGCCUCCAGAUUCCGGUGCUCUUUCUGUUGGAAACACAGCAUUUUCCUCUGUGAUUUUCGCCACUGACUAUAUCUUUGACUCAGUAUCACCUUGGCUUCGUGGCCUGGAUUUGGUUUGCAUUUGACUGAGACAGUGGCAAUCUGAGAGCUGGAAAUGACCCUUUAAGUGUGCUUUGUUUGACCUACACAGCGCUUCAAAAAUAUGGAGAUCAUCACCAUUAAAUGUGUGAACAUUUAAAUGGGAAAUCUCAUGUAUUGCACAUAUUUUCAUGUGAAUAUUUAAAUGUCAAACUUCUUUUGGAAACUGGUGAAUCCAGUGCCCUCUCACACACAGUGUUUAGGCUGCAGUUGGUGGACCCCUCUCUGUCCCUCUACUAUGAGCCCACAGGUUGCUGUUCCUGGUUCAGUAUAGUUACCUCCCUUGCUGACCACUACACUGGGAGGUUUGCUUUCCUGCCACUUCGGAGGCCUCUGCUGCCCUGAGGAGCAAUUUUCUUAUGAUCAGUAGUGGCCCUACUGCUCCUCCAGACUUCUCUGCCUGGGCCCUCAGGCUGGAUCUUUGCACUUUAAGGGAAGGCCUGAGGCCAGGAGAGCUGGCCUUUCCUGGAAGCUGCAAGUCCAUUCCUUCUCUGUGGGAGCCCAGCUGCCUGUCUCUGGGGCCACCUUUUCUGCUGGAGAUGGCAGAGGCAGCUGAUUGGCCUUGUCCUGGCAGGCACAAGUGGGUGCUAAUGAAGGGAAGAAUGUGCUGCCCUUACCCUUGAUAGUGAGGCAGUUGACCCUGUCCUUCUCUCCCUGCCCUCGGUCUUUGUAGAUGCAGGGCAGAGACCUCGGUUGAGACCCUAGUGUAGAAGUUACACUUGACUGAGAGCUCAUGAAAGGCUUAAACGCCAUUCCAAAGUGCAAACUCUCACAGUGAUGUCAAGGAAAACAUACAUUUAACCAUACAAGCUUUUGAAGCAUUUGACAUUAGUCCAUCAAGCAAAUCAAGGGGCCUGUGCUCCUGUCAGCCUGUCCUGUUGUCGCUCUAUCUCCCUGGACAGGAUUUCUUCAAUGCAUAUUUUCUGCCCAGCCCUUUUAUGAACUGAUUGUCACAAGGCUAAAGGAGAACCCCAUUUUAGCCAAGGAAACUAAGGCUCAGGAAAUCUUUAAAAGAAUUUCCAAGGUGAUAGCACUCAGAGAUGAAAUGCAAACUCUUAAAGUCUAAGACAUUACAACAAGCAGCUAAUUUGUGCUCUUAGGAAGUAUAUUGUCUGGUAGAUGCUAUUUUAGGUCAUUAAUUCCUUCUUAAUUUCAAGUUUAAAAGUCCUAUUAUCAUUUCAGUUCGUUGGACGCUUUUGCCAAAAGCACAUAUAAUUUCCUCAAUCGACAUACUCCGCAUGUGGAUUGCCCUAUUUUAUUAUAAUAUCAGGGCCUUCUACAGGUGCUGGGCAGGAUAUCUCAUGGAUGAUGCAUCUAUUUGUGCUUUCUUUCCCUGACUUCUCUGCUUUCUGACCAAGUCAUCAAACCCUUAGAAUUUCCUUGUCCUGGGCAUUUCUGCAGGACCAUGUGUAAAUAAAAACAGCUGAGAGACUAUAAUUUCUCUUGUAUUUUUUAAAAGUGGAUUAGGCUGUGUGUACAGGAGGA